rnacentral:lncRNA from 1 species
UAAGGUAUACUUAAUUAUGAUGAAAAUAUUUUAAUGUUAGACUAAACCUUCACCGGUUGUGACUUUGCCCAAGAUUUUUAGGGGAUUAUAAUAUGGCGAUGAGGGUUGUGUGGCAAAUGAUUAUAUGCAAGUAUUUUUUUAAUAAUCAUAGUGAUAUUUUUGAGAUCAUUUGAGAUUUGUGUGGGGUUAGAAUAUAAAAAUAAGCAAAUGAUUCAG